rfam:Picea glauca, whole genome shotgun sequence.
AUAAUGGUGUCUUUAGACACCACCUAUGUUCUUUGAAUUUUAUUC